UACAGAGGGGGCAAGCGUUGUUCGGAAUUACUGGGCGUAAAGGGCGCGUAGGCGGCCCGCUAAGUCGAACGUGAAAUCCCCAGGCUCAACCUGGGAACUGCGUCCGAUACUGGCAGGCUUGAAUACGGGAGAGGGAUGUGGAAUUCCAGGUGUAGCGGUGAAAUGCGUAGAUAUCGAGAGGAACACCUGCGGCGAAGGCGGGUAGCUGGGCCGACACUGACGCUGAGGCGCGAAAGCCAGGGGAGCGAACGGG
rnacentral:rRNA from 1 species